rnacentral:rRNA from 1 species
GACGAACGCUGGCGGCGUGCUUAACACAUGCAAGUCGAACGGAAAGGCCCUGCUGUUGUGGGGUGCUCGAGUGGCGAACGGGUGAGUAACAAGUGAGUAACCUGCCCUUGACUUUGGGAUAACUUCAGGAAACUGGGGCUAAUACCGGAUAGGAGCUCCUGCUGCAUGGUGGGGGUUGGAAAGGUUCGGCGGUUGGGGAUGGACUCGCGGCUUAUCAGCUUGUUGGUGGGGUAGUGGCUUACCAAGGCUUUGACGGGUAGCCGGCCUGAGAGGGUGACCGGCCACAUUGGGACUGAGAUACGGCCCAGAGUCCUACGGGAGGCAGCAGUGGGGAAUAUUGCACAAUGGGCGGAAGCCUGAUGCAGCAACGCCGCGUGCGGGAUGACGGCCUUCGGGUUGUAAACCGCUUUCGCCUGUGACGAAGCGUGAGUGACGGUAAUGGGUAAAGAAGCACCGGCUAACUACGUG